ACAACUUCAACUGCUGCCAGUAAACCUCAAACAGGCGGGAGAUUAGAUUACACCAAAAAGAAAAACAUUUCCGUGAAGAAAAUUUAAAAAGAAAAUGGCAGAGCCAAUGGAGAUCUCUUCAUCAUCAGAAGCCCUCGAUCUUCACUCUAUUCGCAGCCGAAUAAAUGAGCUUUCAGAGAUUCAUCGUAUUGAUAAAAAUAAGGAUGAGGGUGAAGCGCUCUCUUUGGACUCCGAGAAGUUGCUCAAAGAUUGCAGUCUUCAUUUUGAGAGCAAAGUGAAGCAAAUUAUUGAAGAGUAUUCUGAUGUGGGUUUUUUAGGCAUUGAAGAUUUGGAUGAAUACCUAGCACAUUUGAAAGAGGAGCUCAAUCAAGUGGAGGCUGAAAGUGCCAAGAUUUCUAACGAAAUUGAGGAUCUUUCAAGAAACCAUAUUGAAGAAUCAAAUAUACUAGAAGGCAAUCUUGAAGGCUUGAAAUAUGCAUUGGAUUCUAUUGCAUCUCAGGGUAUGGAGAGAGUAGAAGAGGACCCAUGCCUUGACUCUUCUAUGAAUGAUGAAGAUCAAUCGAAUCUGAUGCAUUCAAAUGAAGAGCAAAAGUUUGAGAUUAUGGAACUAGAAAGUCAGAUUGAGAAGAACAAUAUAAUUUUGAAGUCUUUGCAGGAUCUUGAUUCGAUGUUCAAAAGAUUAGAUACCUUAGAACAGAUUGAAGAUGCAUUGACUGGUUUGAAAGUCAUUGGGUUUGAUGGAAACUGCAUUAGGUUGUCAUUACAGACAUAUAUUCCAAAAUUAGAGGGUCUGUUGUGCCAAAAAACAAUUGAAGAUAUUUCUGAGCCAUCUGAAAUGAAUCAUGAAUUGCUAGUAGAGAUUGUGGAUGGAACCAUGGAGAUUAAGAAUGUUGAGAUGUUCCCAAAUGAUGUUUACUUAGGCGAUAUCAUUGAUGAUGCAAAGUCUUUCAGGCAGCUAUCCUCUAACUUAAUGGUGCAGCAGACACAGUCUUCAUUGGAGUGGUUUGUGGGAAAAGUACAGGACAGGAUUAUCCUAAGUACUUUGAGACGAUUUAUAGUGAAGAGUACAAAUAAAUCAAGACAUUCGUUUGAGUACUUAGAGAGAGAUGAGACAAUUGUAGCUCACUUGGUUGGGGGAAUUGAUGCAUUCAUAAAGCUGUCUCAAGGUUGGCCACUAUCAAAAUCUCCGUUGAAAUUGUUAUCCAUCAAGAGCUCAGAUCAUCAUUCAAGGGGAAUUUCAUUGAGCUUACUUUGCAAGGCUGAGAGGGUGUAGCCCUUAGCUGAACAGAAUGGUGUAAACAGAAACAUGUAGCAACUCCAAUUUGUUUGGGACUAAGGCGUAGUUGACUUGAGUUGUUUCUUAUUGUUAUGCUAGUUAUCUCUCUGUUCCUAGUUUCAUGUGGGGAAACAGAAAAGUAGAUGUCUAGAUGUUCUUAAAAUAGAACAUUGGACCAUUGUAGUUUCUCAUAAAUUCAUACUACACAACCUUGAAAGCUAUAAAGGAAGAAAACUAGUUGUUAUUUGGUUUGAGAAAGGAGGUUCAGCUCAGGAUUUUGAUUACGCUUAGGAUUGUUGGUUCUCCAUCAUUGAUGAUUUUGUGGCUUUGAGAGAGGCUCAUGCUUGAUUUGUUUUAGUCAGCUUGGAUGUCAAUAAGUUGGGCUUGUGGUUGUAGGUUCUUCCUUUCUAACUUGUUCAAGUCCUAAAGAAAUUGUUUUGAAUGGUGAAAAUUCCAAUUGUCACAGGAUGAGAAGGGAUUUUUCGGCUCUCAUCUUUCUGUUUUUGCUCUUAUGAAUUUGAUGAUUUCCAUAUUUAUCCAGUUUCUUUUUUUUUUUCUCUUAAUUAAUUCAUUAGGAAAUGGCAAAUUCCUUGGAUAUGCACAUUCGACAAAAUUUGUCAGCCUUUGUGGAUGCUGUUGAAAAGCUACUCUUAGAACAGAUGCGCCUAGACCUUCAGUCUGAUGAUGCCUCUGAUUAGUGACCAUGUUGCAGCCUGUCUAUCACUUGGUAAGCGUAAAUGUCAAUGUUGCAUAUACUUAAUAAAAUCUGAAGUCUACGAUCCAAAUUCUCAGGAAACCAUGGGUAGAGAUAUUACCGGGAUCGGACCCUUGUACAAGAUACAUCUUGGAAGCAUCCGCAGAGAAAUGUUAGUUAUGUUUCUGUUAUGUAGCUUCUGUACUAGUGUAACUUUCAUGGCAUAAAUCAGUCAUGUAGAAUGCCUAGUAAUAUGAUUAUGAUAAUUGAUUUCCACAGUAAGAUGUGCAAAAAAUGGGACUUGAAAAAGUUUUUAUGUUCACAUUUGGAAUGUUAGUUACGGAUCACAGACUUCGAUUCGAAAAGUUUCUAUGUUCACUUUGAAGAUAUUAAUUACUGAGAAUAAGUUUUGGCACUCCA